GCCUGUCUCACUAAACAGUACUUAGUGUAACAGGACUUAGUGUCGCUGCGACGCGUCAUACACUAAGACGGGUCUUACUGACGUCCUGUUGGUUUCUCAGUUUCACUAAACCGUUCUUUACUAAGUCCUGUGUGCGGCGCAUCUUCAACAAUAAAACGUCUGGAUUUUGAUUCUACGAAGCCGAAUUUCGUGACCUUCGACCUUGUGUGAAGAUAAAAGUAAUUUUUUCCUGUAAGUUUUCGUCUGCAUCGAAAGUGAAAGGAGGCUGAAUUUUGUCACUUUAAGUGAUUGUUUAACAUUAUUUCGACUACUGUUGGAUAAAAAUGGGGAAGGAAACGCGGAGGUAAAGAAGCAAGGAAUUCCAAAGGAUAGAAAUUAAAGUGCUUCUGCAGUUUGUGGCUACUAGAAACAUGAACCAUUUGGAACAGGAGGAAAGGGGAGCAGCAAAGAAGAAAAGGUGAAAGAAAGAACCUGGAAAAGAGCAACACAUUCAGAGCAGCUGGUGGCCAAGAGAGGGAAUGGCAUACAUUAAGAAAGAAAUGGCAAGACAUGGCUUUGAAAGCCAAAGCAUAUAAAGCCCAAAGGACAGGAUUCAGAGGCUAUGGACCUGAGCUUGUCUAAUGAAAAUGUUCCAGGCCCCAGUGAUCGUCAGCCUCAGCCUCCUCAGCCUCAGCUU